UACGUAGGGUGCGAGCGUUGUCCGGAAUUAUUGGGCGUAAAGGGCUCGUAGGCGGUUUGUUGCGUCGGGAGUGAAAACUCAGGGCUUAACCCCUGAGCCUGCUUCCGAUACGGGCAGACUAGAGGUAUGCAGGGGAGAACGGAAGUUCCUGGUGUAGCGGUGAAAUGCGCAGAUAUCAGGAGGAACACCGGUGGCGAAGGCGGUUCUCUGGGCAUUACCUGACGCUGAGGAGCGAAAGUGUGGGGAGCGAACAGG
rnacentral:rRNA from 1 species